rnacentral:lncRNA from 1 species
CAAGGAAUGACUCAUGAAUUCUCCACAUCAGCUAAUCCUAUUGUUCGGCAGGUAAUGAUGGUCAUGGUUAGGUUUCGACGUUUCGUUUCUGUAAAACUGAAAUGUUAAUUUCUUAUGUUACAAGCAAGGAGUAGGAUACAACAGUAAAUGCUUACCUGCACCGUGUUUUUUCCCCCACUCAAUCAUUUUAACCUUAGUUAACUAAAAAUUAAAGUAAGAAUGCAUAUCACUUUAUCAUGGUUAAGUUAUAACUUUUGUUUAUGAAAGACACAUAUCUUGCAUUCAUUGGUCGGGCGUAAACGCGCGGUGCAGGUAAGGUCUUACCAGAUGUAACUUACCGUGGCAUCUGAAUCAACCUUCUGUUUAUGAAUUAAUCCUAAUUUUCUUUAAAUUAAAAUCUCGAUAUUUAGAAACUAUACAAGCAUUGUCUCUAACAAAGUACUUCCUCUAUCCCUAAUUACUUGUCCAUUUUUUAAUUGACACACCUAUUAAGAACAAUAAUUGUCAUAGUGAGUUUACCAUUUUACCCCUAUUAAUUAUGAAGUGGAUGAAUUAAAAAUUUAAGAUUUUCAAAAAUUUCUACCUUUUUCAAAGUUAAUUAAUUGAGGGUAUAAUAGGUAAAAAGAAUUUGUCUUUUCUUGAUUUGUCAAAAUGGACAAGUAAUUUUACUUAGGGACAGAGGAGUAGUAAAAAGUAGACAUUUUAAAUAUUACUGAAAUUUCACUAAACAGAAAUUUCAAGCAUAUAGGCAACUGUUGAAUAUUCACUUCUGUCACUACUGAUUUAUUAGAACAAUAAGUAGUUUAGUUGUAGGAUGAGUCUUUAUUUAAAUUCAGUUAGAUAAGUCUAAUUGAGAUAUUACACUCUGCAGAUUUUCUGAUUUCAAGUUGGCUAUUUGAAGCCCUCCCUGCUUUAAUAAAGUAAUAGAGAGAAAAUUUCAUUCACUUUGAAUAUUUAUGAAUAUAGAGAUAAAUCCAUUCCAUGGAAAAUUUACAUGUUUUCUUGUGGUUAUUUAGCUCUUCUGGGUGAAGAUUUUAAAGCAUUGUUUGUUUCAUUGUCUGUCAGUUUGCAUCAGGGAGUUUGGAUGGUCCUAUUAGAUAUUAGCUUCUGCAGCCAAAACAAAUACAAGACAUACUCGUAGGGUUGAUUUUACCUACCAGCUGAACUUGGUGCUUCAAGGCUGACCUUGUCAAAGCAACAAAAGAGAGAUCAAUGCCUAAAGAGUAGUCACACUUGCAGCUCUUAUUUUGCUGAGCCUGCUUACAUGAAUAUGCGUGUCAUAGAAGAAGUUUCUGGUUUUAUUUUACUCUUGUUCUUCCCUCUUAUUUAUUUCACAUUCAUCUUUGUAACCAGCCUCCAUUAUUUUUAGUGCUAGCAACUUGAUAGUAAGGUGUAUCAUGUUGAAAUGAAUUGAUUACCUUACAGUAAGUAAAUUGUGUAACAUACUAAGCAAUUCAUGUAGAAAUGAUUUGUGUUCUUAUUUCAGCUUUGCAAUAGCAACUUUGACCUCUAUUGCCAAAUUGUAUAACAUGAUAGCAUCUUGAU